rnacentral:rRNA from 1 species
UACGUAGGGUGCGAGCGUUGUCCGGAAUUAUUGGGCGUAAAGAGCUCGUAGGCGGUCUGUCGCGUCGAUCGUGAAAACUCGAGGCUCAACCUCGAGCCUGCAUUCGAUACUGGGCGGCUAGAGUCUGGUAGGGGGAUCUGGAAUUCCUGGUGUAGCGGUGGAAUGCGCAGAUAUCAGGAGGAACACCGGUGGCGAAGGCGGGAUCCUGGGCCAGUACUGACGCUGAGGAGCGAAAGCGUGGGGAGCGAACAGG